UUUGUUUCCCAUAAAUAAAGAAUGUGGCAUAAAAUUAAGCCACAUGUUAUUCCAAAAUGUUUUAUAGUAGAGUUUUUUUCAAACUGUGUGUGCUGACAUUGAACAUUCAAAAUAAGGUAAUGACCUGCCUGUCUGGCAGCGUGCCGAGCGGGCGGAUUUUGUAUUCUAGUUCAGAACAUUUUUCUGUUUGCCGUCCAGCAUUAAAGCUGUACUUAAGUUCAGAAUUUUGUUUCCGUGAGUCUGCAUUUUCUUAACUUUUCCUGCCUGGACAUGACAGUAUAACCCUUUCACAGGGAGUUCUUCAAAAUGAGGCGUACUGCGAUCAACAAGACUGACUGGGUGGAUGUCAAGUUAAAAGGAGGAGUUUUGAAACACCCAGUACAGAAGGACACAAAUAGCUGCGGUGUGAUUGUCAUCUUGAUGGCAAAGGCGUUCAUGGAGUCAUUUCCCAACAUACCAGAAAUGACAUUUAAAACAACAAUUAAAGCAAUGGCACAGCAGCGUGAAGCCAUUGCUUUAAAUAUACUGGGAGCCUCAGUGUUCGAGGCAGAAAACAAUUGCGCCAUGUGCUCAACUCCAAAACCACCUUUUCCAGGGCCUUCAAUCACCAAAUGGAUCCAGUGUGACAGCUGUUCAAGGUGGUUUCACACACAGCGCCUGCAGAUGAAUACUGAGCUGUUUCAGACGGCAGAGGCUGCAGAAUGGGAGUGCGCUCUCUGUGAAAAAGAAAUACUUGUAUUUAUUUUGUAAAAUCUAUAUACGGUUGAAUAAUGUCAUGUAAAUUCUUAUUUGUAUUGAUAGAAACUAAGGAACAGAUGUAAAUUGUUUUUAUACAUUUUGUAUGUGUACAUUUACAGGUUAUGUAUUUCACAAAUGUAAAUAGAG